ensembl:lncRNA
GCCCUCCAGAUGGGCUAUGGCCGGGAAGAGGUCAGGGAGCAAGGGGGCCACGGGGAUCCGGGGCGUGGGACUCGGGCCCCGGCCUGAGUCUUAGGUAUCCGUAGCGCCCUCCUUCUUCCUCCUCUUCGCUGAAUACAGCUCACGGUAAGUACUGGUUCACACAGUUCGUUCUCGAGGUGCUCACUCUCUUUCUCUUCCUCCACAGGCAACGGCUGGGACACAAAAGCACAGUUAGUUCAGCUUGGUUUUGCUCUCACCUCUUCGCUGAUUACAGCUCACAGUAAGUACUGGUUCACACAGUUCGUUCCUUGGGUGCUCACUCGCUUUCUCUUUCUCCACAGGCAGCGGCGUAAGUACAGGUUUCCUCGGUCUCUCCUCGUGUUACCCACUCUCUCUCCUUUUCUCUCCACAGGUAUCAACUUAGGCACAAUAGCACAGUUAGUUUGCUUUGAAUGGCUCUCACCUCUGGGCUGGACACAGCGUACUGUAAGUACAGGUUCCCUCUGGUUCUCCUUGUGUUACUCACUCUCUCUUUCCUUUCCUCUCCACAGGUAUCAACUUGGACACAAAGCACAGUUACUCUGCUUUGGAUGGCUUUCACCUCUGGGCUGGACACAGCGUACCGUGCUAUCUCCGGAGAUCUGAAGCACGCUCACAACAUAUACUGUACUGAACUAGGCUAGGACCAGCAGUCUCCUUGUCCUCCCGCGACGAAGUGCGUGAAGGCGGGGGUUUAUCUGAC